AGGAGAUCGUUCAAAAAAUGGAGUGAUUUAGAUUAAUAACAGUGAGGGUUACUAAUAGUUUGUUCGUGUAUAUAUAAGGGUUAAGGUGAGUUAGUCGUAGCAGUGGUUUGGUAACGUUAAUGGUGUUUAUGUGAAGAAAACAGAGCUUCGAACGGUUGUUAACUAACAAGAUCAGGUCACAAUGUACGCAAACAUAAUGAGGAAAUAUGUGAAGAGCCCAGUGAGAAGUUUUAGGGUUGAACAAUCUGAUAGAAACAAGGUCAGGUUUUUUGAUAAUGUUAGUGUUAAGUGGGGGAUUAAAUUGCUUUAGUGAUGUUGUCCAUGCUAUAUUUCAGUUACCACCAAUUAAGAGGGUUAACCUAACUUGGUUCAGUGAAACAAACCUAUUUUACAUUGGUAGUAAUGAUGAAUUUUAUGAAAUGUGGGAUAAAGGAGUAGUUGAAGAUGGUGGGUAUAUUCAUCUUUACAUGAAUAUUACCCACAGGAAGGUUCCUCUUAGUGAUGAGUUCCCUGAAAGUUUUGGUUUGUCAGUUGCACAUAGUGGUUAUUCAACACCUGAGAAGGCCAAAUCUACUUCAUUUCUACGUAUUGAGAGAGAUGCACUACCAGUGACUCUUGACCCAUCAAGUUUCUUAACACUAAGAAGAGGUUGUUGUAUAGUAAAUCACCUGAGCUUUUAAAGAGAAGUCCUAGGUUGGUGUCUAAGUCUAUUGCUGCAGUCAUUGGGAGUUGUAAGAAGUCUUUAUUUGUUAAUGUGGAUGAUGAUGAGGUUGUAGAUGUUGAAACAUCAGUUGAAUCAAGACUUUCACAGUUGGGGUAUGACAACAAUAUACAACUGACAAAUAAUGAUAUAGAUGUGUGUCAUCCCAUUGAUGAUUGUAGAAGCCCACAUUUUGAUGAUGCGGAACUGGGUAUUGAAGUGUACACAGGAUUUGUCAACAACUAUUUUGGUGGAGUAGACUCUUUUGAUUACUUACAUCCACAACUAUAUAAGAAAAAGUGCAGCAGUUGGUUAACUUGGAUUAUGACUUAUGAUUGUGUUUAUGUUAUGUUAAUAUUAAGUUGGAUUCAGUCUAAUUUUCUUCUUUUAUUCAAACUUUUGGUCAUUACAUUACAUUUGUAGAUCUCCAAUUUGCUUGCAUAAAUCUUCCAUCUGUUUUACAUUGGAUUUUGCAGCAUUGAAUAUAGCAUCAGACAACCAUUGAAACUCAAGAAAGUUGGAGCAUUCGAGGCUUGGUUUUUCCAUGGAUAGUUGUUGUGCAUAUGGUUCUUGUCACCACAAGCAAAGCAGGAAUGGGGAGUGGGGAGAUGAACUGGAAUUUCUCUUUUUUGGUUUGUGGCAUCUGCAAACCACUCAAAGUACGAGCAGAUUGAGCAUCGCAAGAACUUCUCUCCAACAUGAUCAUCAGUUUGAGCUUUCAACAACUUCCUCACUCCAUUGCAAGGACUGUGUUGUUUGUUAGAAUGGAAAAAUGAGUGUACAUGUUUGCAUGAAUAUAAAGAAAAGAAGAAAUGCAAUCAGUCCGUUGGGAACGGUCUAAUUUUCCAGUCUCAAAAAAUUAGCCACGUCAACGAAUCUCCAACGUCAGCGGCUGUCCACGUCACCGAGUCUCAAACAGGUUGGGUUAAAUGGUUAACUGCAGUUAAAGACCUUGAGUUGAAAUGGAGGGUAUUUGUAGAUGGGGAAAAAUGAUUUGCUGGUUUUUACGGAAUUGAGGAGAUGACCGUGUGGAGAAUCCUU